UGUGGUGGCGAUAGCGAGAAGGAUACACCUGUAACCAUGCCGAACACAGAAGUUAAGCUUCUUAGCGCCGAUUGUAGUGAGGGGUUGCCCCUUG
rnacentral:rRNA from 1 species